rnacentral:miRNA from 14 species
CCCGGGAGCGGGGGACCACCAGGUUGCCUAAGGAGGGGUGAACCGGCCCAGGUCGGAAAAACUGCUGCC